GAUGAACGCUAGCGAUAGGCUUAACACAUGCCAGUCGAGGGGCAGCACAAGGUAGCUUGCUAUCUGGGUGGCGACCGGCGCACGGGUGCGUAACGCGUAUGCAACUUGCCCUAUACAGGAGGAUAACCCGUCGAAAGACGGACUAAUACUGCGUAUGCUCACAACUUGGCAUCAAGUGGUGAGGAAAGAAAUUCGGUAUAGGAUAGGCAUGCGUCCCAUUAGCUUGUUGGUGAGGUAACGGCUCACCAAGGCAGCGAUGGGUAGGGGAACUGAGAGGUUUAUCCCCCACACUGGUACUGAGACACGGACCAGACUCCUACGGGAGGCAGCAGUGAGGAAUAUUGGUCAAUGGGCGCGAGCCUGAACCAGCCAAGUCGCGUGAAGGAUGACCGUCUUAUGGAUUGUAAACUUCUUUUAUACGGGAAUAACAAGAGUCACGUGUGACUCCCUGCAUGUACCGUAUGAAUAAGCAUCGGCUAACUCCGUG
rnacentral:rRNA from 1 species